AUGUGCCUUCCCAAAGAUAAAGAUGGUAUGGGCUUUAGAGAUUUGCAUGCUUUUAAUCUCGCAAUGUUGGUCAAACGGAGUUGGAGAAUGAUCACUCACCCUGACACCUUGUGUACAAAGGUCCUGGGAGCAAAAUAUUUUUCCGAUGGAAAUUUAUCGAAAGCAGGACAAAAAGAAGGAUCCUCUUAUACAUGGCAAAGCAUUGUGGCAGGUUUGCGAACUUUUAGAAGGGAUUAUAUUUGGACUGUAGGAAGUGGAGAAAAGAUAAAUAUUUGGGAGGAUCAUUGGAUAUCCACCAGCCCCACAAGAAUGGUGUACACAAGGAAGGAUAAUAUUCUGUUGAGGACACUGGAUGAGCUUAUUGACCCAAACACAAGAACAUGGGACGAAGAGUUGAUCAGGAGCAUUUUCUUGCCAGUGGAUUCGGAAAGAAUUUUGAGAAUCCCAUUAUCUGAACACCUAACUGAUGACUUUGUGGCGUGGCAUAAGACGAAAUCAUUUGUGUUCACAUUCCGGUCUGCAUACUACACCGAGUGGGAUCACCAAUUUGACUCUAGGGUGGUUAGUACUGAGGGGCCUUCAUCGGUUAAUCCUGUUUGGGCAGCAGUUUGA
rnacentral:rRNA from 1 species